rnacentral:sRNA from 1 species
GCCAAGCACUGUGGUGCAUGCCUGUAAUCCCAGCAGUUCAGGAGGCUGAGACAGGGGGAUCGCAGGUUCACAGCCAGCCUCAGCAACUGCAAGGCACUAAGGAACUUAAUGAGACCCUGUCUCUA